rnacentral:rRNA from 1 species
GACGAACGCUGGCGGCGUGCCUAAUACAUGCAAGUCGGACGCAGUUGCGAAAGGGUGAGUAACGCGUAGGUAACUGCCUAUGAGAGGGGGAUAACUAUUGGAAACGAUAGCUAAUACCGCAUACUAGUAGAUGGACCUACGUUGUAUUAGCUAGUAGGUAGGGUAAUGGCCUUCCUAGGCAACGAUACAUAGCCGAGCUGAGAAGGUGAUCGACCAAACUUGGACUGGGAAAAGGGCCAGACUCCUAAGGGAGGCAGCAGUAGGGAAUCUGCGGAAAAGGGGGGAACCCUGAACGAGCAACGGCGGGGUAGUGGAGAAGGUUUUCGGGUCUGAAAGGUACGUUGUUAAGGAAGCGGUACUUAAACAGAAAGGGACGGCUAACUACGUGCCAGCCGCCGCGGUAAUUC